rnacentral:tRNA from 1 species
GGUGAUGUGCCGGAUAAAACGGGAUGCGAUGAUGAUGCAGAACAUAAGAGAUAUUUCUUCUUCACCU